AAGGGCGAUCAUAGGGCGGGUGUUCACCCCUUCCCAUCCCGAACAGGGCCGUUAAGCCCCGCUCCGCCGAUGAUACUGGGUUCACCCCCGGGAAAGUAGGUAAUCGCCUCCC
rfam:Corchorus olitorius cultivar O-4 contig09619, whole genome shotgun sequence.